CCUACGGGGGGCUGCAGUGGGGAAUAUUGGACAAUGGGCGAAAGCCUGAUCCAGCCAUGCCGCGUGUGUGAAGAAGGCCUUCGGGUUGUAAAGCACUUUCAGUGGGGAAGAAAGCCUUGGGGCUAAUACCCUCGAGGAAGGACAUCACCCACAGAAGAAGCACCGGCUAACUCCGUGCCAGCAGCCGCGGUAAUACGGAGGGUGCGAGUGUUAAUCGGAAUUACUGGGCGUAAAGCGCGCGUAGGCGGUCUGAUAAGCCGGUUGUGAAAGCCCCGGGCUCAACCUGGGAACGGCAUCCGGAACUGUCAGGCUAGAGUGCAGGAGAGGAAGGUAGAAUUCCCGGUGUAGCGGUGAAAUGCGUAGAGAUCGGGAGGAAUACCAGUGGCGAAGGCGGCCUUCUGGACUGACACUGACGCUGAGGUGCGAAAGCGUGGGUAGCAAACAGGAUUAGAUACCCGAGUAGUC
rnacentral:rRNA from 1 species